GCUGCACAAGGCUGGAGCGCAGGGCCAAAGCUAGAAUUGACCUCGGAAUUUCAGAUCAUCAACGCAGGACUCCAUCUCUUGUCCGCGCACUGGGAGUUUUGUGGACCCCAAAAUGUCUCCUCCUCUCAGUGUCAGGAUUAAGGUCUGUCAGUGUUGGGGACAGAAGCUUGGUCCCAAGGAGCAGAGUCAACUGACAUUUGGAAUGUGAGCUCCUGUGGAUCAGAGGUCCAAACACGUGGGCGCUUCUAAAGAGAGGACAGCGCCUUCUUCAAGCCCUCCUCCUAUCCAGCUUCUUGGGGCUAAUUCCAGCAGCCUCUGUCUGCCUUUCAAGUGAAAUUCCACCCCUAGCACCAGUGGGGUCCCAGGAGUAAGAGGAAGACCGUUAUCAAGACCGAAUUCUUGGCUUGGCCAUCGUCCACACUGCUCUUUGUUGUGGUGUUAGACCUAGAUGUGUAUCCAGCUGGACUCCACUCUCUCAAAAGCCUUCCUUGGCGCCCAGGGCCACUUCUGUUUUCAGAACCUGUCACAUUUCACCCAUGACAAUCUUUGGAUCGGUGAAAUUCUCUCCGUCCUUGUUUUCCAGGGCCUUUUCUGUUGUCACCUCCCUUGGCAACCUUUCCACCGGGUAGAACUUUUAAUUUGAACAACAGUUCAAAGGCUGAGAGACGAAAUGCUCAUUACUGGACAGAGUGCCAGGAAUGCUGGGAAGCCAACCUCACUCCUCACCGAAGCCCAGCACCUCCCAGUGAAGGUUCCUUUCAUAGUCUGAAGGUUGGAUCAGCAUUUCUUUUCAUCUCAUCUUCUUUUAGGAACUGCUGGGAUAAAAGGGAGGUCUAGCAGAAUGAAAAUCUCACAAACAGGACAAGAAUAAAAUAUUUAGGGCAAAAGA